rnacentral:misc_RNA from 1 species
GAUGAAGAACGUAGCGAAAUGCGAUACGUAAUGUGAAUUGCAGAAUUCAGUGAAUCAUCGAGUCUUUGAACGCACAUUGCGCCCCCUGGUAUUCCGGGGGGCAUGCCUGUCCGAGCGUCAUUGCUGCCCUCAAGCCCGGCUUGUGUGUUGGGCCUCGUCCCCCCUCCGGGGGACGGGCCCGAAAGGCAGCGGCGGCACCGUGUCCGGUCCUCGAGCGUAUGGGGCUUUGUCACCCGCUCUGUAGGCCCGGCCGGCGCCUUAGCCGACGACACAAUCUUUUUUUUCAGGUUGACCUCGGAUCAGGUAGGGAUACCCGCUGAACUUAAGCAUAUCAAUAAGCGGAGGA